GACGAACGCUGGCGGCGUGCUUAACACAUGCAAGUCGAACGGAAAGGCCCGGCUUUUGUGGGGUGCUCGAGUGGCGAACAGGUGAGUAACACGUGAGUAACCUGCCCCUGACUUUGGGAUAACAUCAGGAAAAUGGGGCUAAUACCGGAUAGGAUCUCUUGCUGCAUGGUGGGGGUUGGAAAGUUUCGGCGGUUGUGUAUGGGCUCGUGGCUUAUCGGCUUGAUGGUGGGGUAGUGCCUGACCAAGCCUUCGACGGGUAGGCGGCCUGAGAGGGUGACCGGCCACACUGGUUCUGAGGUACGGCCCAGACUGCUACGGUAGCCAGCUGUGGGAAAUAUUGCACAAUGGGCGCAGGCCUGAUGCAGCAGCGCUGCGUGCCGUAAGACGGCCUUCGGGUUGUAAACCGCUUUCGCCUGUAACGGAGCGUGUGUGACGGUAAUGUGUAAAGAAGCACCGGCUAACUUCGUG
rnacentral:rRNA from 1 species